rnacentral:lncRNA from 1 species
CGAGCACCAACCUACACCACAACCUAACCGCAAGAACCACCACCACCGCGCGCCAGAAAUAAUAAUAAUAAUAAUAAUAGCUACGCACGGGCCAACGGCCCCGCGUGUCUUAAGGAAGAGUCCUUCUUAGAACCCUACCGUACCCUGUGGGACCCUGACUAGAGGCACCCCACGCAUCACCCUCUACUCAGCUCAUAGGAUCCGAAGAUCUGAGCUUAUCGGCCUACCAACCCUCCGAAUUCGGCCAGCGUAGAGUUUCCUCGUUGCACCAAUGGGAUCGAUACAACGAUUCUUCGGUGCCACGGACUCCAUACCGGAACACCUACGGUGAGGGGGGUGGGAUCCGAACCCACGACCUCAACCUUAUCCGCCGGGAAACGGGCCGAAUAUGAGAUUCGAACCCGGGUCCGCAGGGUGAUAAGGAAGUGCUCUUACCUACUGAGCUACCCCCCCGCGCCAGAAAAGAAAACACCAGUACUACGCACUCGCCCCGCCCAAACCCACCCCACCCCCACAAGUCGGUUGCUUAAGCAACACCCCAGGAGAACCUGCUAAGGAAACACUAAACGGGCCAGAUGUGGCGCUGACAUAGCGGGGUCCAGCCCGCUGCAAGACAAAGAAGAAAGCUGCAAACAACGCGCUGUGCAGGAAGGCCCACAGCCGCCCAGGCGCUGCGACGCCAGCCAGAGCUAAAACACAUGGGCACCAGAUAAGCUGAUGACGAUAAUACGCCACGCCAGCGCCUGGAAAUAAACGCCGCCCAAGAGGAAAUCUAGGGGGCCUGCACAGGUGAUGCAGGCGUCAGCCGCAAGUUCAACUUUGGUGACCCACCCUGAACCUCCUCCACCUCACAAAAUGCGCCACCCGCCGCCCAGAUGGCCACAAAGUGCUCCAGCUUAGCCGCCUUGAGCUGUGCGGUGAGAAGCUGUGUGGGCAAGGCUGACAGGGUUUCAGGGGUUAGCGUGGCGGCAGUGAAACGCAGCGACAUCACCCUACCUGCGCAGCUCGCUGACCACCUCCCGAACCACAUGCUCCGACGUCUGCUUAGCAGGCUCGCGGGACCAGUACGCACACCAGACGGCGUACAAGAAGGUGGCCCGCAAAGUGCUCCACAGCAGCGCGCCCGCCCCCCGCGGGCCUGAGGCCCACAUACCCAUGCGGUCCCCCAGCAUGAAGCCCGCGUCCGUCACUGGCGGCGCCGCUGCCUGGGGCGCAACGCUACGGGGGCUGUGUCCUACGUCCACUUCACGGGGCGGCUCUUGGAGCCUGGGCCUGGCGUGCUGCCCCCGGCGUUGGAUGGGGCGUGGCAGCCUGCCUGUGUGCUGCAGCAUCGCAAGCCGCGGCACCUGUGGACCUUUGAAGAGCGGGCGGCGUACGAUGCAGCAUCACCAGGGGAACGGGCGGGGGCGUGGCCUCGGGCGCCGUACUUCCUGGCGCCGGAGGCUGGGGUGGUGGUGCACCCGGAGCACUGCCGGAUUGCGGGUGUAGCUGCUGCAGCCACGUCCUCGCCUGCGCAUAAGCUGGACACUCCAGGAAGAUGUGCGUCAGGCUGGCCCACGCCCGCGGGCCAGGUGGCCCGCAGGCGGGGUGAGGACAGUGCGCCCCCAACCCCCCGCACCCCGUGGUCACCCGUGGACGAAUUCCCUUGCCCGCCCUGUACAGCCCGCAAGGCAGGUAAGCAUGUUGCAGCCGGUACACCAGCACCUUUGCCCCCCGACUGGCGUGGCUGUCCCACAGCCUCCGCCACGUACCCCGCAGAAGGGACGCAUCCGGGGGCGGCAUGCGAGGGUCGCCCUCCACCGCCGCCGCUGCUGCCACCGCCGCCGUGGCAGGCCCCGUGCUAGGUCCCGCCCCGCCCGCCGCCUGCUCCUGCAGCCGCGCGGACCGCCGCGGCCCCUCACCCGACUGCUGGGACGGGGACGCAUACGACUGCAGUUCUCUCGCCGGCGUGUUCUGCAGCCCGGCUUUUUUUGACCGGCUGCCGCAAAGGUGCGGUGGAGCCAGGGGUCCAGAGCCACCGGGUUAUUGUGGAAAUGCUGCGCCGCCGUGGUGGUCAGCUGCGCCGCUGCACGCUGCCACUCCGCCUCCCGCUCCGCCAGCCGCGACUGUGCCGCCGGCUGGGUCCCCGAACCCCCCGCCUGCUGUGCUGGCGCCGGGCACGGCAUGGCUGCGGGGCGGGCCGGAGCCGGAGGUGCGGCCGGGUUAGCCGCGGUGAUGGCCCGCCACACGUCCCGCACCGUGUAGUCCGCCAAGCUGACACCCGCAAUCCGGCAGUGCUCCGGGUGCACCACCACCCCAGCCUCCGGCGCCAGGAAGUACAGCUUUUUUUUGAGGAAUCAUCCUUACAAGGUUGAACAGGGGCAGACGCGCUGCCCCCCUGCUGCCUUUGUUUUUUUUGAGGAAUCAUCCUUACAAGGUUGAACAGGGGCAGACGCGCUGCCCCCCUGCUGCCUUUGUUUUUUUUGAGGAAUCAUCCUUACAAGGUUGAACAGGGGCAGACGCGCUGCCCCCCUGCUGCCUGAAAGCAGCCUGGUCCCCGAGACCAGAACCAACAGGGCAAGAAGAGAAGAAAAGAGAAGAAAAACAGAAAGCAAACACCUCGAAAACUGCCACCAAACACCCCCAUCCAACCCACCCCACCCAACCCCGACCCGGCAGACAGAGCAGGAGGCUGGCCCCCCCGCCCCCCGGGAGGGGUUGCACAAAAACACCGCCAGACCUAACCCAAGCACCAACCUAUACCACAGCCUAACCACAAGAACCACCACCACCGCGCGCCAGAAAAGAAAACACCAGUGCUACGCACUCGCCCCGCCCAAACCCACCCACCCCCACAAGUCGGUGGCUUAAGCAAAACCCCAGGAGAACCGGCAGAGGAGACACAAGCAGAAAACUAAACGGGCCAGAUGACGGGCUCCUGAACCACAUGCUCCGACGUCUGCUUAGCAGGCUCGCGGGACCAGUACGCACACCAGACGGCGUACAAGAAGGUGGCCCGCAAAGUGCUCCACAGCAGCGCGCCCGCCCCCCGCGGGCCUGAGGCCCACAUACCCAUGCGGUCCCCCAGCAUGAAGCCCGCGUCCGUCACUGGCGGCGCCGCUGCCUGGGGCGCAACGCAGGCCCACAGCUGCUGCAGCCACGUCCUCGCCUGCGCAUAAGCUGGACACUCCAGGAAGAUGUGCGUUAGGCUGGCCCACGCCGGCGGGCCAGGUGGCCCGCAGGCGGGGUGAGGACAGUGCGCCCCCAACCCCCCGCACCCCGUGGUCACCCGUGGACGAAUUCCCUUGCCCGCCCUGUACAGCCCGCAAGGCAGGUAAGCAUGUUGCAGCCGGUACACCAGCGAGUGUACCGGUGCGGGAGGCGGAGUGGCAGCGUGCAGCGGCGCAGCUGACCACCACGGCGGCGCAGCAUUUCCACAAAAACCCGGUGGCUCUGGACCCCUGGCUCCACCGCACCUCUGCGGCUGCCGGGCAGCAGAACACGCCACAGGUGCCGGGGCAACCGGCGCCUGUGGCGCUCACGGGGCCGGGCACGCGCAACACUGUCUCCGCAGCCGCCGCAGCCAUGUACAGCCGCCGCAGCCAUGUACAGCAGGCCUGAUCGAAUGGAUGCGCCUGGACGUGGGCGCGGACGGCACGCCACGGCAGGGUGGUGCGCUGUACUUCUUGGACAUAGAAAAGGCGUAUGACCGGGUGCACCGGCAGUGGCUGUAUGCGUCCGCGGAGGGACUUGGGUUUGGGCCGCGCAUGCUGCGCUGGAUCCGCCUUUUUUUUUCCUGCUCACUGCCAACGGCUCUGCCCGCAUGUGUGUGAACGGGAUGCUCUCUGACGCCUGCCCAGUGCUGAACGGCUUGCCGCAGGGCAGCAUCGCCUCACCACCCCUGUGGGUCAUCCAGAUGCAGCCACUGACGUCCUUUCUGCGGCGGCAGGUGGAGCAAGGGGCACUGCGCACGCCCCUGUUACCCAGCGGCGAGCAGGCGCCGCCUGCUUUUUUUUUUUUAGGAAUCAUCCUUACAAGGUUGACCAGGGGCAGACGCGCUGCCCCCCUGCUGCCUGAAAGCAGCCUGGUCCCCGAGACCAGAACCCUGACAGGGCAAGAAGAGAAGAAGAAAAGAGAAGAAAACAGAAAGCAAACACCUCGAAAACCGCCACCAACCACCCCCAUCGAUCCCACCCCACCCCACCGCGACCCGGCAGACAGAGCAGGAGGCUGGCCCCCCCGCCCCCCGGGAGGGGUUGCACAAAAACACCGCCAGACCUAACCCAAGCACCAACCUACACCACAGCCUAACCGCAAGAACCACCACCACCGCGCGCCAGCAAAGAAAACACCAGCGCUACGCACUCGCCCCGCCCAAACCCACCCCACCCCCACAAGUCGGUUGCUUAAGCAACACCCCAGUAGAACCGGCAGAGGAGACACAAGCAGAAAACUAAACGGGCCAGAUGUGGCGCUGACUAAGCGGGCUCCAGU